GACGAACGCUGGCGGCGUGCCUAAUACAUGCAAGUAGAACGCUGAAGGAGGAGCUUGCUUCUCUGGAUGAGUUGCGAACGGGUGAGUAACGCGUAGGUAACCUGCCUGGUAGCGGGGGAUAACUAUUGGAAACGAUAGCUAAUACCGCAUAAGAGUAGAUGUUGCAUGACAUUUGCUUAAAAGGUGCAAUUGCAUCUCUACCAGAUGGACCUGCGUUGUAUUAGCUAGUUGGUGGGGUAACGGCUCACCAAGGCGACGAUACAUAGCCGACCUGAGAGGGUGAUCGGCCACACUGGGACUGAGACACGGCCCAGACUCCUACGGGAGGCAGCAGUAGGGAAUCUUCGGCAAUGGACGGAAGUCUGACCGAGCAACGCCGCGUGAGUGAAGAAGGUUUUCGGAUCGUAAAGCUCUGUUGUAAGAGAAGAACGAGUGUGAGAGUGGAAAGUUCACACUGUGACGGUAUCUUACCAGAAAGGGACGGCUAACUACGUG
rnacentral:rRNA from 1 species